AUGUGCUGCAGCCUUCCCACGGGGGUGCCGCCUGCGACGUGCCCGGCCUGUGCCGAACCUGCUCCCUGGGUCUGGAGCAGGCAGACUGGAGGGGGAGCACACGGAGCGCUGAGUGCAGCGGAGAGCUGGCUGCGUUUGGGACUGAAAUCCCCCAGCAGGGCUGGAAAGGAGGAGCAGGAGACCCUGGGCUACUGCCCUUUGGAGCAGUCGAAGACCAGACCAGCAGCUGCCCCCACCAUGGUUCCUGGGACCCCGGACUUUUGUCACCCUGAGUUCCAACAUAUUCGAAACAGACCAGGCCAGAGAGAAGGAUCCAGAUGACACUGUGACCCCUGUUGGCCCCGGAUGAAGCCUACACGCGACUUGAGAUGACAUGGAAUGAAACAGUAGCUCUGGCUCAUUUCCACUAACUUCUCUUUUCCCACAUGAGAGUUAUCUUGAGUAUCAUCCAAGAGACUGACAAGACAGGUUAAAUAAAGUCUUUUAUCGGACCGACAGAAACUGUGAGCUCAUCCACGUUUUUCUCUCGAAUCCUGGCACGAGCAAGUCACAACACGGCUGCGAACACUGGAAGAGGAUUUCAAAUGAGGGAAUAUUUCCUUCUAAAGCUCUCUCCCACUCACGGGAACUAGGGACGGCGUUCAAACGAAACCGAAGUCCAUACUUGACGUGGCAAAUGCUGCAGCUUGUUUUCCUCCUUUUCUUUAUCUUCAAUACACGGUUACAAGGCUUUUGAACGGCAUGAGGCGAAGCAGGUGCAAACGGAUGUCUACUCAGCUCUGCACCUUGUUGCAAACUGUUUAAUGCUGGAUAGUCACUGGUUGUGUCAAUUCCCUUGGCCCAUAUAGUCCAUCGAAAGUAAUACAACCGUGUUGUGCAUUCGCAUGGCUGCUAAGCUGGUGAUUUCCACCAGUGAAAGCAAAGUCACUUUGGCUUUUCAAAUGGUAUGUUUUGGAAAUUUCGCAUGGGCAUUGUAUUAAUACAGAAAAUCCACGCUGAGAAACCCGAGCACAGUGUAACCUGGUACAGCACGGAAGUGCUGGUCCCUACAUGACGAUACUGACAGACACUUUUAAAAAAUGAUUACUGAUAGAAACGUAGCCGUGUUAGUCUGGUCUAGCUGAAACAAAG